UACGUAGGGCGCAAGCGUUGUCCGGAAUUAUUGGGCGUAAAGAGCUCGUAGGUGGUUGGUCGCGUCUGCUGUGAAAACCCAUGGCUUAACUGUGGGCUUGCGGUGGAUACGGGCCGACUUGAGGUAGGUAGGGGAGAAUGGAAUUCCCGGUGUAGCGGUGAAAUGCGCAGAUAUCGGGAGGAACACCGGUGGCGAAGGCGGUUCUCUGGGCCUUACCUGACGCUGAGGAGCGAAAGCGUGGGGAGCGAACAGG
rnacentral:rRNA from 1 species